GUGGUCUAGCGGUUAGAACGCUGGCCUUGUAAUCCUGGGGUCUCGGGUUCGAUUCCUGAC
rnacentral:tRNA from 1 species